rnacentral:rRNA from 1 species
GACGAACGCUGGCGGCGUGCUUAACACAUGCAAGUCGAACGGAAAGGCCCUGCUUUUGUGGGGUGCUCGGGUGGCGAACGGGUGAGUAACACGUGAGUAACCUGCCCUUGACUUUGGGAUAACUUCAGGAAACUGGGGCUAAUACCGGAUAGGAGCUCCUGCUGCAUGGUGGGGGUUGGAAAGUUUCGGAGGUUGGGGAUGGACUCGCGGCUUAUCAGCUUGUUGGUGGGGUAGUGGCUUACCAAGGCUUUGACGGGUAGCCGGCCUGAGAGGGUGACCGGCCACAUUGGGACUGAGAUACGGCCCAGACUCCUACGGGAGGCAGCAGUGGGGAAUAUUGCACAAUGGGCGGAAGCCUGAUGCAGCAACGCCGCGUGCGGGAUGACGGCCUUCGGGUUGUAAACCGCUUUCGCCUGUGACGAAGCGUGAGUGACGGUAAUGGGUAAAGAAGCACCGGCUAACUACGUG